GCUAUAUGAAAUUCCAUUUUGUUACCCAAGUCAAUCUCAUACGUUCGGCGGACUUCAGCCGUAUGCAAGCGGUCUGAAAAUCUUAUAAAUUAAGUUUAUUACAUUUUUAAUUUAUUAAGACGUUUAAUGAUUAUCCAAUGCGAAGGAUGGAAAACUUACAACAAGGAUCCACUUAUUUUAUGUUCAAAAUUGAAGAAAAUUACUUAUUAAAUAACGUUAGAUGUGAUUAAACAGAAAUCUAUGGCAUUCUGGCGGUAAUACCCGAUUGAACCGUCACGGGUGUUCACUGGUGAUGUAUCUUCACUGAAUGACCAAUUAACUGACCGUCGCCGUUAAAUACAUGGUCGUAUACAAUAUGGUCGUUAACUUGUGGAAGGGCACUCUGAGAAAUUUUGGUUCAAAUAAGGCAUCGCGCAAUAAUGAACCCCUGAUGUAUUUCUGUUUAAAAAUAACCAACGAUAUGAUGGGA